UACGGAGGGUGCAAGCGUUGUCCGGAAUCACUGGGCGUAAAGGGCGCGUAGGCGGCCUGAUAAGUAGGGGGUGAAAUCCUGCGGCUUAACCGCAGGGCUGCCUUCUAAACUGGCGGGCUAGAGCACGGUAGAGGCAGAUGGAAUUCCCGGUGUAGCGGUGGAAUGCGUAGAGAUCGGGAAGAACAUCAGUGGCGAAGGCGGUCUGCUGGGCCGUUGCUGACGCUGAGGCGCGACAGCGUGGGGAGCAAACAGG
rnacentral:rRNA from 1 species